AUUAUUGUUAUUAAAUUACAGUAUUUGCUUACAGUGUUUCUUGAUUCUAAUUAUGUCACAAAACAUAUGCAUUGUAGCAUACGAAAGAACUUGUUGGAGAAUAUUUAUUUAUUUCUGUCAUCAAUUCAACAUCAGCAGUCUAAUAGGUGUCUGUUAUUCCAUGCCUUUGAUGUUGUGAUUGGAUUUUUGUGCUCAAAUAAAUAAAAAGAAUAUAUAAAUUUGUGCCUGUGUGAGAAAAUUGUUACAUAAAUAUCAAAUAAUAUAGACAUUGCAUAGACUUCAGUAAUUCCGAUGUCAUACCUAUGGUAUAUAUUUUUGGAAUAUCAUGUUCUGUACAUUCCAUUUGUUGUAACUUUAGAGUGAAAUGCAAUUUUUUAAUAAUUCAAGUUUUUUUUUAUUCAUCUUACUCCAUCUUAUAGUCAGUUUAUUUUUGAAAUAAUUGUAUGUUGUCAACAGAGAAGUUCAUAGGUAUUUAUGAUGUUGGAAGGUGUUUUGAAUAAAAUCAGUUUCAAAAUAUUCUC